rnacentral:rRNA from 1 species
CAGUCGAGCGAGAAAGGGAGCAAUCCCCGGUACAGCGGCGCACGGGUGAGUAACACGUAGGUAAUCUACCUUCGAGUGGGGGAUAACCUUCCGAAAGGAGGGCUAAUACCGCAUAAGACCACGACCUCGCGAGGGGAUGAGGUCAAAGCCGGCCACUAUACAUAAGCUGGCGCUUGGAGACGAGCCUGCGGCCCAUCAGCUAGUUGGUAGGGUAAUGGCCUACCAAGGCGUAGACGGGUAGCUGGUCUGAGAGGAUGAUCAGCCACACUGGAACUGA